GCCAGUCUAGAAGCCUUGCCAAUGGUUCCAUUUGGGAACCCAGGGCAGAAGCUUCCCCUCUGGCUUUUUUCUCAGAGGCAUAAUAAUAAUAAUAAUAAUUAUUAUUAUUAUUUUUUGAGAUGGAGUCUUGCUCUUGUUGCCCAGGCUGGAGUGCAAUGAUGCGAUCUCGGCUCACUGCAACCUCCGCCUCCCAGGCUCAAGUGAUCCUCCUGCCUCAGCCUCCCGAGUAGCUGGGAUUACAGGCAUACACCACCACACCCUGCUAAUUUUGUAUUUUUAGUAGAGACGGGAUUUCUCCAUGUUGGUCAGGCUGGUCUCAAACUCCCGACCUCAGAUGAUCCGCCCACCUCAGCCUCCCAAAGUGCUGAGUUUACAGGUGUGAGCCACUGCGCCCGGCCCAGAGGCAUAAAAUUAGUGGUCAAUAAUGUUCCUUAUUUCCUGCAUGUUUUACUUAAAGGGACCUAGACCAACAUGGCAAAAGUCUGAACACAGAGGCUAAGUUUUUCACUCAGGAACCAGCUCCAGGUUUCCUUCAUUCUGCCUGAAAGUCUUGGACCCUCAGCAUCCUUCCCGACUACUGUGGCCUAGAUUCUGGGCUGCUUUGUGUGUGGGAAAGCUGAUGGCAGAUCACGGAAAGAUGGCCCAUCAUAGAACCACACACACAUGAUCACAGGCAUGACGCAAAACAAUGAAGCUUGGUACCUUCCUCUCGCCACAGGAUGUUUGCAACUGCAGCAGCAGAGAAUGAGGAAAGCAGGAAUGUGAUGGAGGGAAGGAAAAAGAAGAAAGCAGUGUUAAACCUUCACUGUAGUGAUUCCAUUUAUGAAGAUCCUGGUACCUAGUCCAUUGACUUACAGAAUCUAUACCACUCAUUGCCCUAGGAACAGUAUCUUGGGGGAAGCUCUGGACAUGAACAAAUGCUUUCAGGUCUCCAGACCCUUUUGAUUCCUAAGUGAAUCUUUGAAAUCAUGCCCUAGGACCACAGAAGAUAAUGGAAUUUCUCACAUUUUAUGGAUGAUCAAGAGUAAGCAACAUCUCUCCCAGAUUUCCUGGACUACCAGCAGGAGAAGUGACUUUCAACCAGGAUUCUCCUAAGAUGACCAUGUGAAAUACUUCUGAUUAUCUACUUUGAUGAAAA